rnacentral:rRNA from 1 species
ACGAACGCUGGCGGCAGGCCUAACACAUGCAAGUCGAGCGCGCCCUUCGGGGUGAGCGGCGGACGGGUGAGUAACGCGUGGGAACGUGCCCUUUUCUACGGAAUAGCCUCGGGAAACUGAGAGUAAUACCGUAUACGCCCUUUGGGGGAAAGAUUUAUCGGAAAAGGAUCGGCCCGCGUUGGAUUAGGUAGUGGGUGGGGUAAUGGCCUACCAAGCCGACGAUCCAUAGCUGGUUUGAGAGGAUGAUCAGCCACACUUGGACUGAGACACGGCCCAGACUCCUACGGGAGGCAGCAGUGGGGAAUCUUAGACAAUGGGGGCAACCCUGAUCGAGCCAUGCCGCGUGAGUGAUGAAGGCCUUAGGGUUGUAAAGCUCUUUCAGCUGGGAAGAUAAUGACGGUACCAGCAGAAGAAGCCCCGGCUAACUCCGUG